CAACAAUCUCCCCCUUUGGCAUAGAUUGGUCAGAAUCCAUAUUUAACAAGAACUCCCCCUGCAUAUGAGAUUUUCUCUUCUUGCAGAAAUGAUUAACCCCCCCUGCAUCACAUACUGUUAGUACAAUAGAAGUUGUUGUAACAGAGAAAUUUCCUGCAGCACAAAGUUAUCCAAAACAAGCCCAAGGCACAAAAUAAAGAUAACCAAGAUGAUAUCCAA
rnacentral:lncRNA from 1 species